UGAGAGCGGCGGACGGGUGAGUAAUGCCUAGGAAUCUGCCUGGUAGUGGGGGAUAACGUUCGGAAACGGACGCUAAUACCGCAUACGUCCUACGGGAGAAAGCAGGGGACCUUCGGGCCUUGCGCUAUCAGAUGAGCCUAGGUCGGAUUAGCUAGUUGGUGAGGUAAUGGCUCACCAAGGCGACGAUCCGUAACUGGUCUGAGAGGAUGAUCAGUCACACUGGAACUGAGACACGGUCCAGACUCCUACGGGAGGCAGCAGUGGGGAAUAUUGGACAAUGGGCGAAAGCCUGAUCCAGCCAUGCCGCGUGUGUGAAGAAGGUCUUCGGAUUGUAAAGCACUUUAAGUUGGGAGGAAGGGUUGUAGAUUAAUACUCUGCAAUUUUGACGUUACCGACAGAAUAAGCACCGGCUAACUCUGUGCCAGCAGCCGCGGUAAUACAGAGGGUGCAAGCGUUAAUCGGAAUUACUGGGCGUAAAGCGCGCGUAGGUGGUUUGUUAAGUUGGAUGUGAAAUCCCCGGGCUCAACCUGGGAACUGCAUUCAAAACUGACUGACUAGAGUAUGGUAGAGGGUGGUGGAAUUUCCUGU
rnacentral:rRNA from 1 species